AACAGCCCGCGGUAAUUCCAGCUCCAAUAGCGUAUAUUAAAGUUGUUGCAGUUAAAAAGCUCGUAGUUGAAUUUCGGGGUCAGUAGGUUGGUCGUGCCUAUAGUAUGUACUGGCUUUACUGAUUCCUCCUUCUUGAAGAACUGUAAUGUCAUUAAUUUGGUGUUGCAGGGAAACAGGACUAUUACUUUGAAAAAAUUAGAGUGUUUAAAGCAGGCUAACGCUUGAAUACAUUAGCAUGGAAUAAUGAAAUAGGACGUUCGAUCCUAUUUUGUUGGUUUCUAGGAUUGACGUAAUGAUUAAUAGGGAUAGUUGGGGGCAUUAGUAUUCAAUUGUCAGAGGUGAAAUUCUUGGAUUUAUUGAAGACUAACUACUGCGAAAGCAUUUGCCAAGGAUGUUUUCA
rnacentral:rRNA from 1 species